rnacentral:rRNA from 1 species
AUUGAACGCUGGCGGCAGGCCUAACACAUGCAAGUCGAGCGGAGCGGCGGUCGCGUGCGUAAGGCCUAGGUAUCUGCCUGGUCGUGGGGGAUAGCGUCCGGUAACGGGCGCUAAUACCGCAUCCUAUCAGCUUAGCCUAGGUCGGAUUAGCUAGUUGGUGGGGUAAAGGCCGACCAAGGCGACGAUCCGUAACUGAACUGGGAGGAUGAUCAGUCACACUGGAACUGAGACACGGUCCAGACUCCUACGGGAGGCAGCAGUGGGGAAUAUUGGACAAUGGGCGAAAGCCUGAUCCAGCCAUGCCGCGUGUGUGAAGAAGGUCUUCGGAUUGUAAAGCACUUUAAGUUGGGAGGCGUUACCAACAGAAUAAGCACCGGCUAACUUCGUGCCAGCAGCCGCGGUAAUAC